rnacentral:rRNA from 1 species
AACUUUUACAAUGCUGGAAACAGCGAUAAGGGGACCUCGAGUGCCAGGUUACAAAUCUGGCUGUCGUGAUGCCUAAAAAGCAUUGCAUAGCAAGGCCGGGCAAGACCGGUGCCAGCCGCCGCGGUAACACCGGCGGCUCGAGUGGUAACCGCUAUUAUUGGGUCUAAAGGGUCUGUAGCCGGCCGGAUAAGUCUUUUGGGAAAUCUGGCAGCUUAACUGUCAGGCUGCUAGGGGAUACUGUUUGGCUUGGGACCGGGAGAGGUGAGAGGUACCUUGGGGGUAGGGGUGAAAUCUUGUGAUCCUCGAGGGACCACCAGUGGCGAAGGCGUCUCACCAGAACGGGUCCGACGGUAAGGGACGAAAGCUAGGGGCACGAACCGGAUUAGAUACCCGGGUAG